AAGGUGAAGCUAGAGUUCUCAGUAGCUCUGAAAACCUUAGCUACACUUAAAACCAAGAGAGACUGUGUUUUAAACUUAUGCUAUAAAAGUAACAAGUGUUCUGAAAAAUCGUAUGCAGCGGAAAGCCUCGGCUAUGUCCCAUCCACUGAGGCCAUGUCCAGCUCUCGAACCGUCUCCCUUGGGUGCUGCUUUGCGGACCCUGUCCCUCAGCCCGUCUGAGGGUGCUGCAGAGCAGCUUUAGCCUGUCGGAGCCACUCAGCCCUGGGUACAGGCAUAUGAGGAUAACCAAAGUCCAAAAAUCUUCCAGUCGCUCCCAGAGAAAGAGAAUAUGCAAAGAACAGAGAGGUAAUGCUGAAACAAUUUUUCUGGUGAAGUAAAGCUUAGCAGUGUUUUUAUUAUUGCAAUUUUUAAGCAACAGUAUGAAGAGGACUGAGCGGAGGAUAA